CAAGCAAUGAUCAUAAUGGUGAUGAUGUGGAUAACCUCAGCCUAUGGGAAGCAUUUGGUGAAGAGUACAAUGCUGAUGUAGAAGCUAUCCAAACCAACUGCAGGCAACAGCGCUUGCAGUGCUUUGCCAUUCAUUACAACUGGUGAUUAGAAAUGGACAAAAGGAAACAAAAAUCAUAAACAGUGUGAUGGCUAAGGUAACUAAACUUUGCAGCUUACUACAUACUACCUGUGGUCUGAAAGAAGCAUUUGAAGCAGAGUUCCAAGCCAGUCAUAGUAUCCCUGCUGCUGUGUCUACCAGAUGGAAUUCCAUCCUCUGGCUUGUUAAAGCAGUCACCAAUCGGAAUAAAUAAAGCCUCAAUACUCUACUUGAGCCCCAAGGAAACAAGGAGCUCUGCUUAUCACCAAGGGAAUGGAGCCAGCUAGUGGACAUUUUGGACCCUUUUGUCCAGGCCACCGACCUUACUCAGAGGGAGAAAGUGGUGACUCUCAGUGCUGCCCUUCCUUGUGUACUGUCACUCAACUAUCGUCUGCAAAGUAUACUGAGCACAAGUUGUCACCUAGUCAGUCUAGUAAAACCACUGCAGCAGUCACUCAAACGCCGAUUCCCGGGGAUGUUUGUGAAUGUCAGAAUGGAGCACUCGGAUGAACAAAAUUUCCAUUUGGUGACAAUGUAUAUAUAAUGGCUGCACUGCUGGACCCAUCUUUCUGCCUGUUCUGGCUUGAUCAUGAUGUCCUCAUACCACAUGAAGAUCAAGCUGAAUUGAAAGAGAGUCUGAUUGACCUUGUUCUGCCUGAGGCACGGAAAGUCACUGUUACGGAGAGCAGUUUACGAAGAUAAUGAAGAACAACCACCUGCCAAAACCUCCAGACUGUUCUCUGGCUACCGAAACAAGAUUAGAAAGGAGACAUAAAGUCAUCUUUCAGAGCAGAUAUUAUUCGGUACAUUAAAGUAUAUUCUGAUGAAAAUUAAGUUGAUUGCUUGGAUUUUUGGAGAAUCCAUGCAAAAGACUUUCCAAGGCUCAAGCAGGUAGCAAUGACAGUGUUGGCUGUGCCUGCCACCAGUGCCCCAGUGGAGAGAAUGUUUUGUCAUGGAGGCCUAAUCAUGCGCCCUCAUCGUGCCAGGCUCAGUGCAAGGACGCUGACAAACUUGAUCUUUCUGAAAUGCAACCCGUCUGCAACAUAAAUGUUCUCUGUCUUAGGGCACAGGACGUAAUUUGCUAAUUGUUACAGGAAAUUGUAUUUCUGUUAAGUGUCCAGGUCAGUAAAUAUAUUUUAGGAAUAAAGGUCAUUACGUUUGAUA